AGGCUUAAUACAUGCAAGUCGAACGGUAAGGUCACUGCUUGCAGUGAUACACGAGUGGCGCACGGGUGAGUAACGCGUACACGACCUACCUUUAAGUAUGGGAUAGCCCUGGGAAACUGGGAUUAAUACCGUAUGUGAUAGUGGUUUAGGAUUGCUAUUAAAGAUUUAUCGCUUAAAGAUGGGUGUGCGUACUAUUAGCUAGUUGGUAAGGUAACGGCUUACCAAGGCGACGAUAGUUAGGGGGCGUGAGAGCGUGGACCCCCACACGGGUACUGAGACACGGACCCGACUCCUACGGGAGGCAGCAGUAAGGAAUAUUGGACAAUGGGGGCAACCCUGAUCCAGCCAUCCCGCGUGUAGGAAGACUGCCCUAUGGGUUGUAAACUACUUUUAUCAGGGAAGAAAAGUUGGCAUUUAUGCUGAUCUGACGGUACCUGAGGAAUAAGCACCGGCUAACUCCGUGCCAGCAGCCGCGGUAAUACGGAGGGUGCGAGCGUUAUCCGGAAUUACUGGGUUUAAAGGGUGCGUAGGCGGAAGUAUAAGUCAGAGGUGAAAUCACACAGCUUAACUGUGUAACCGCCUUUGAUACUGUAUUUCUUGAAUCAGAUUGAGGUUAGCGGAAUGUGACAUGUA
rnacentral:rRNA from 1 species